rnacentral:rRNA from 1 species
UUCCUGGCGGCCUUAGCGCGGUGGUCCCACCGGGCCCCAUUCCGAACUCAGAAGUGAAACGCCGUAGCGCCGAUGGUAGUGUGGGGUCUCCCCAUGCGAGAGUAGGGAACUGCCAGGCAU